UUACGGCCACAUCAUGUUGAAACACCAGUUCCAUUGUACCAUCACCAAAGUUAAGCAACAUCAAGCCUGAUCAGCACUUAGAUGGGUGACCACCUGGGAAUACCAGGUGCUGUAAG